AUGGAUUUCCUGCAGGGGCGGAGCGUCGAGACCAUGGUGGCCGUCGCCGUCGCGGUCGUCGCCGUCGCCGUGGGCGGCGCACUCCUCCUCCGCCGAUCCAAGAGGCCCAAGGGCUGCUUGGAUCCUGAGAACUUCAAGAAGUUUAAACUUGUGGAAAAGACACAAAUAAGCCAUAAUGUUGCCAAAUUCCGAUUUGCUCUUCCAACCCCUACCUCUGUGUUAGGCCUUCCAAUUGGUCAACAUAUCAGUUGCAGAGGUCAAGAUGCUACAGGUGAAGAAGUAAUCAAGCCUUACACACCUACUACAUUGGAUUCUGAUCUCGGAAAUUUUCAGCUUGUUAUAAAGAUGUACCCUCAAGGAAGAAUGUCGCAUCACUUCCGUGAAAUGAAAGUUGGUGAUUAUAUGUCUGUGAAGGGACCUAAGGGUCGUUUCAAGUACCAAGUAGGACAAGUGAGAGCUUUCGGAAUGCUGGCUGGUGGAUCUGGCAUUACUCCGAUGUUCCAAGUUGCAAGGGCAAUUCUCGAGAACCCUAAUGACAAAACGAAGGUUCAUCUAGUCUAUGCAAAUGUCACACCUGAAGACAUUCUUCUGAAGGAAGAGCUGGACAGCCUGGCCGAAGAAUAUCCUGAUCGCUUCAAGAUCUUCUACGUGCUGAAUCAGCCUCCUGAAGUCUGGAAUGGUGGUGUUGGCUUUGUGUCCCAGGACAUGAUCAAGACCCACUGUCCAGCACCUGCUGAGGAUAUUCAGAUCUUGAGAUGCGGCCCUCCUCCGAUGAACAAGGCGAUGGCUGCACACCUCGAGGAGCUCGGAUACACAAAGGAGAUGCAGUUCCAGUUCUAA
rnacentral:rRNA from 1 species